rnacentral:rRNA from 1 species
GAUGAACGCUGGCGGCGUGCCUAAUACAUGCAAGUCGAGCGAACAGACGAGGAGCUUGCGCCUCUGACGUUAGCGGCGGACGGGUGAGUAACACGUGGAUAACCUACCUAUAAGACUGGGAUAACUUCGGGAAACCGGAGCUAAUACCGGAGAAUAUAUUGAACCGCAUGGUUCAAUAGUGAAAGACGGUUUUGCUGUCACUUAUAGAUGGAUCCGCGCCGCAUUAGCUAGUUGGUAAGGUAACGGCUUACCAAGGCGACGAUGCGUAGCCGACCUGAGAGGGUGAUCAGCCACACUGGAACUGAGACACGGUCCAGACUCCUACGGGAGGCAGCAGUAGGGAAUCUUCCGCAAUGGGCGAAAGCCUGACGGAGCAACGCCGCGUGAGUGAUGAAGGUCUUCGGAUCGUAAAACUCUGUUAUUAGGGAAGAACAAAUGUGUAAGUAACUAUGCACGUCUUGACGGUACCUAAUCAGAAAGCCCCGGCUAACUACGUG